rnacentral:rRNA from 1 species
GUACAAGGACGCUUCAACCGAGUCGGGUAGCUUGGGAAUGCUGCUCUAAUUGGUGGUAAAUCUCAUCAAAGGCUAAAUAGUGGUGGGAGACCGAUAGCGAACAAGUACCGUGAGGGAAAGAUGGAAAGAACUUUGAAAAGAGAGUGAAAAGCACUUGAAACCGUCACGGGGGAAGCGGAUUGCGUGAGUGAUGGUGUCGCUUGUUCAGCGCUUUAUUGCGUGCAUUCUGGCGGCGCCGUGCCGGCGUGGCUGGCUGGACUGUGAUUUUGACAGUCUCGGCUGGUGAGGGCUCCCUCGUAUGAGGUGAGGACGCGGGCAAAAUGACGCAAUACGACCCGUCUUGAAACACGGACCAAGGAGUCUAGCACGGCUGCGAGUCGAAGAGUGAUUAAACUCAAGGGCGCAGUGAAAGCGAAAUUAUAAGCAAAUUGGGGAGGCGUUGCGUUUUUAACAAAAUGUCCUACCUCGAGCAUUUGUGCUGGGACCCGAAAGAUGGUGAACUAUGCCGGAGUAGGGCAAAGCCAGAGGAAACUCUGGUGGAGGCUCGUAGCGAUGCUGACGUGCAAAUCGCUCGUCGAACUUGGGUAUAGGGGCGAAAGACUAAUCGAACCAUCUAGUAGCUGGUUCCCUCCGAAGUUUCUCUCAGGAUAGCGGGCCGACACGCGUUUGUUGUUUUGUGCGGUAAAGCGAAUGAUUAGUGCAUUUGGGGUACGAAGUACUUCGGGCGAUUCUCAAACUUUAAAUGCGCAAGGGGGUGGCUGCUUAAUUGAGCCUACUCUUUGAAAAACGUCGGCCCUGUGGGCCACUUUUGGUAAGCAGAACUGGCGAUAAGGGAUGAACCUUAAGCGCGGUUAAGGCGCCUCAUUACCCGCUUAU